rnacentral:rRNA from 1 species
UGCAAGUAGAACGCUGAAAUAAGAGCUUGCUCUUAUGGAUGAGUUGCGAACGGGUGAGUAACACGUGGGGAACCUACCUUCUAGCGGGGGAUAACACAUAGAAAUGUGUGCUAAUACCGCAUAACAAUGAUUGAUGCAUAUCGAUUAUUUGAAAGGCGCAAUUGCGUCACUAGAAGAUGGCCCCGCGGUGCAUUAGCUAGUUGGUGAGGUAACGGCUCACCAAGGCAAUGAUGCAUAGCCGACCUGAGAGGGUGAUCGGCCACACUGGGACUGAGACACGGCCCAGACUCCUACGGGAGGCAGCAGUAGGGAAUCUUCGGCAAUGGACGAAAGUCUGACCGAGCAACGCCGCGUGAGUGAAGAAGGUUUUCGGAUCGUAAAACUCUGUUGUAAGAGAAGAACGUUGAUGAGAGUGGAAAGUUCAUCAAGUGACGGUAUCUUACCAGAAAGCCACGGCUAACUACGUGCCAGCAGCCGCGGUAAUACGUAGGUGGCAAGCGUUGUCCGGAUUUAUUGGACGUAAAGCGAGCGCAGGCGGUUGAUUAAGUCUGAUGUGAAAGCCCCCGGCUCAACCGGGGAGGGUCAUUGGAAACUGGUCAACUUGAGUGCAGAAGAGGAGAGUGGAAUUCCAUGUGUAGCGGUGAAAUGCGUAGAUAUAUGGAGGAACACCAGUGGCGAAGGCGGCUCUCUGGUCUGUAACU